rnacentral:rRNA from 1 species
UGGCUCAGAUUGAACGCUGGCGGCAGGCUUAACACAUGCAAGUCGAACGGUAACAUAAAGAAGCUUGCUUCUUUAAUGACGAGUGGCGGACGGGUGAGUAAUGCUUGGGAAUCUAGCUUAUGGAGGGGGAUAACUAUGGGAAACUGUAGCUAAUACCGCGUAGAAUCGGGAGAUGAAAGUGUGGGACCUUCGGGCCACAUGCCAUAGGAUGAGCCCAAGUGGGAUUAGGUAGUUGGUGAGGUAAAGGCUCACCAAGCCGACGAUCUCUAGCUGGUCUGAGAGGAUGACCAGCCACACUGGGACUGAGACACGGCCCAGACUUCUACGGGAGGCAGCAGUGGGGAAUAUUGCGCAAUGGGGGCAACCCUGACGCAGCCAUGCCGCGUGAAUGAAGGAGGCCUUCGGGUUGUAAAGUUCUUUCGGUAGCGAGGAAGGCAUUUAGUUUAUUAGACUAGGUGAUUGACGUUACUACAGAAGAAGCACGGCUACUUCGUGCCAGCGCCGCGGUAAUCGGAGGUGCAGCGUAAUCGAAUAACUGGCUAAAGGCACGCAGGCGGACUUAGUGAGUGUAAAGCCCGGCUAACUGGAUUGAUUCCUACGGUCGUUAAGUCUUAGGAGGUGAAUUCACGUUACGGUAAUCCUAAAAUUGAGAUACCGAGGCAGGACCCCUUGGAUGAUUCGCCUAUGCCAAGCUGGGCCACGAUGAUACCUGGAUCCCCGUACAGUCAUGGGUGGCUAACUGACGAUAAGGAAUCCCCGGAACGCCAGUACCAAUAUCCGUCCAC